UUGGCUUUGGUGUUUUGUUUUGUUGC
rnacentral:piRNA from 1 species